rnacentral:rRNA from 1 species
GAGUUUGAUCAUGGCUCAGAACGUACGCUGGCGGCACGCCUAACACAUGCAAGUCGAACGAAGUAGCAAUACUUAGUGGCAGACGGGUGAGUAACAUGUAGGUAUCUGCCCUUUGGCCUGGAAUAACACGAGGAAACUUGUGCUAAUACCGGAUAAGUCUUUACGGAGAAAGCUUAAUGCACCAUUGGAUGAGCCUGCACUUGAUUAGUUUGUUGGUGGGGUAAUGGCCUACCAAGACUGUGAUCAAUAGCUGAUUUGAGAGGAUGAUCAGCCACAUUGGGACUGGGACACGGCCCAAACUCCUACGGGAGGCAGCAGUGGGGAAUCUUGCACAAUGGAGGAAACUCUGAUGCAGCGAUGCCGCGUGAGUGAAGAAGGCCCUUGGGUUGUAAAGCUCUUUCGUCGGGGAAGAAAAUGACUGUACCCGAAUAAGAAGGUCCGGCUAACUUCGUGCCAGCAGCCGCGGUAAUACGAAGGGACCUAGCGUAGUUCGGAAUUACUGGGCUUAAAGAGUUCGUAGGUGGUUGAAAAAGUUAGUGGUGAAAUCCCAGAGCUUAACUCUGGAACUGCCAUUAAAACUUUUCAGCUAGAGUAUGAUAGAGGAAAGCAGAAUUUCUAGUGUAGAGGUGAAAUUCGUAGAUAUUAGAAAGAAUACCAAUUGCGAAGGCAGCUUUCUGGAUCAUUACUGACACUGAGGAACGAAAGCAUGGGUAGCGAAGAGGAUUAGAUACCCUCGUAGUCCAUGCCGUAAACGAUGUGUGUUAGACGUUGGAAAUUUAUUUUCAGUGUCGCAGGGAAACCGAUAAACACACCGCCUGGGGAGUACGACCGCAAGGUUAAAACUCAAAUGAAUUGACGGG